GCAUAAGCUUUUAAAAAUCUUGGAAGAGUAUCUUAAUUACAGAGAAUAUAAUUAUUGUAAAAUAUAUGAAGGUACACGCCUAGAAGAUCGUGAUAAAAGUCAUUGAAGCCUUCAACAAGGAAGACAAGUUUGUUUUCUUACUUUCAACUGGGGCAUGUGGCGGUGGUAUCAACUUUCCCACUGCUGAUGUUGUAAUAUUUUACGACAGCGAUUGGAUUCCACAUGCUGAUCUGCAAGCUCUAGACCGUGUUACUGGAAUAGGUCAAAAUAAACAAGUUCAAGUUUUUCGCUUUUGCACUAAGCACACCGUAGAGGAAAAAGUGUUUCAAGAAGGGUAUAAAAAGCUAGCAUUGUAUCCUUUAAUUUUUAGGCAAGGACGAUUCGCACACGGAGAAACUGUCAAUAAGGAUGACCUUCCAAAAAUGACAUUGUUGGGUGCUAGAAAGGUUUUCAGUUCUGAAGACAUCACAGUAACGGAUAAGGAUAUUGAAGAUAUUCUAGAUAAAAGAGAGAAGACAACAACACAACCUAAAGCAAAAAUACAAAAAAUCACUAAGGAUAGCAUUAAAUUUAGUUGGAACAAGCAUAUGUGCCUGUCCCUGUUUCUCUAUAUACCUGCAGCAGCCCUGUCUUUUGUCCACCUACCUAACACCUUCUUCU